GAUGAACGCUGGCGGCGUGCCUAAUACAUGCAAGUCGAGCGAAGCGGGGACGGGUGAGUAACACGUGGAUAACCUCCUAUAUGACUGGGAUAACUUCGGGAAACCUGAGCUAAACCGGAAAGUUACAGUUUGAUCCUCGCUGCAUUAGCUAGUUGGUACGGUAACGGCUUACCAAAGCUAGGAUGCCUAGCCGACCUGAGAGGGUGAUCAGCGCAACGGGAACUGAGACACGGGCCAGACUCCUACGGGAGGCAGCAGUGGGGAAUAUUCCGCAAAGGGCGAAAGCCGGACAGAGCAACGCCGCGUGAGUGAUGAAGGUCUUAGGAUCGUAAAGCUCUGUUAGUAGGGAAGCGGUACCUAAUCAAAAAGCCACGGCUAACUACGUGCCAGCCGCCGCGGUAAUUC
rnacentral:rRNA from 1 species